GGAAGGAUCAUUAACGAAUUGUAAAGGAGGUUGAUGCUGGCUUUUUAUUAGGCAUGUGCUCGCCUCCGACAAUCCUUAUCCAUACACCUGUGCACCUCUGAGGGGUUUUUACCGUCUGGUUUUGAACCCCUCUUUUUUAUCACAAACCCUUUCUUGUAACAUCGAACGUGAAUUAGUGCCGUUAAGGCCUUAAACAAAUACAACUUUUAACAACGGAUCUCUUGGCUCUCGCAUCGAUGAAGAACGCAGCGAAUUGCGAUAAGUAAUGUGAAUUGCAGAAUUCAGUGAAUCAUCGAAUCUUUGAACGCACCUUGCGCUCCCUGGUAUUCCGGGGAGCACGCCUGUUCGAGUGUCGUGAAAUUCUCAAGCUGGGAUGGCUUUAUUGUCUGUCUUCAGUUUGGAUUUGGACUUUGCUGUGUUACUACAGCUAGUCUUAAAAGCAUUAGCUGAAUCUUGGUAUGGGAUUGGUUCUACUCAGCGUGAUAAUUAUCUGACCGCUGAGGACAUCUUUCGGGACGGCCAGACUUGUCCUCGAGUCGCUUCUAAUCUGGUUAACGAAGCUUAAUUGCUAGUUCCAUUUUUCAACUUUGACCUCGAAUCAGGCGGGACUACCCGCUGAACUUAAGCAUAUCAAUAAG
rnacentral:rRNA from 1 species